rnacentral:lncRNA from 1 species
GAUGCAUGCUUAGAUGCUGAUUACUAUCACUAUGCUCAUUAGUCAUGUCAUUUUGAGUGUGUAUGAUCAUAAUGUAUGACUUUGUUUAGACUUUGCUGCUACUGGACCUUGUUUGCUGCUACUGGACCUCAUGUUAUCUUUCUCUGAUCUUCGGGGAUACUUGUUUUGGUAUACAGCAAAGUCAUGGAGAUGUAGCUACUGGACCUUGUUUGCUGCUACUGGACCUCAUGAAUAUGGAAUCCAAUAUCUGUGAUGCGGUUGUCUGUGACAAACUGGGCUAUCCCAACGGAAUAUGGAAUUAAUUCCAUAUUUAGCUAUCCAAACGGAAUAUGGAAUUAGAUUCAUGGAAAAGAAUUCCAUCAACA